ncrna:Ornithorhynchus anatinus (platypus) microRNA oan-mir-1421m precursor
CGGUGUGAGGACGUCGUACGUCAUGCAGAGUUGAUGGCGGAUUAUGUUGCAUUGCGUGCGACGUCCCUACACAGC